rnacentral:rRNA from 1 species
AAUGAACGCUGGCGGCAUGCCUAACACAUGCAAGUCGAACGAGACCUUCGGGUCUAGUGGCGCACGGGUGCGUAACGCGUGGGAAUCUGCCCUUGGGUUCGGAAUAACAGUUAGAAAUGACUGCUAAUACCGAAUGAUGUCGUAAGACCAAAGAUUUAUCGCCCAGGGAUGAGCCCGCGUAAGAUUAGGUAGUUGGUGUGGUAAAGGCGCACCAAGCCGACGAUCUUUAGCUGGCUGAGAGGAUGAUCAGCCACACUGGGACUGAGACACGGCCCAGACUCCUACGGGAGGCAGCAGUGGGGAAUAUUGGACAAUGGGCGAAAGCCUGAUCCAGCAAUGCCGCGUGAGUGAUGAAGGCCUUAGGGUUGUAAAGCUCUGUCACCGGGGGAAGAAACGCUUCAAGUUAAUAGCUUGAAGCCUGACUUAACCCGGAGAGGAAGCAGUGGCUAACUCUGUGCCAGCCG